rnacentral:rRNA from 1 species
GGGGUCUAAUACCGGAUAUCACCUUGGACUUCAUGGUUUGGGGUUGAAAGUUCUGGCGGUUGGGGAUGGGCUCGCGGCCUAUCAGCUUGUUGGUGGGGUAAUGGCCUACCAAGGCGUCGACGGGUAGCCGGCCUGAGAGGGCGACCGGCCACACUGGGACUGAGACACGGCCCAGACACAUACGGGAGGCAGCAGUGGGGAAUAUUGCGCAAUGGGCGAAAGCCUGACGCAGCAACGCCGCGUGAGGGAUGACGGCCUUCGGGUUGUAAACCUCUUUCAGCAGGGACGAAGCGAGAGUGACGGUACCUGCAGAAGAAGGACCGGCCAACUACGUGCCAGCAGCCGCGGUAAUACGUAGGGUCCGAGCGUUGUCCGGAAUUAUUGGGCGUAAAGGGCUCGUAGGCGGUUCGUCACGUCGGGAGUGAAAACUCGGAGCUUAACUCCGAGCCUGCUUCCGAUACGGGCAGACUAGAGGUAGGCAGGGGAGAGCGGAACUCCUGGUGUAGCGGUGGAAUGCGCAGAUAUCAGGAAGAACACCGGUGGC